CAGCAGCCGCGGUAAUACGAGGGGGGCAAGCGUUGUUCGGAAUUAUUGGGCGUAAAGGGCGCGUAGGCGGUUUGGCAAGUUUGGUGUGAAAUCUUCGGGCUCAACUCGAAGUCUGCAUCGAAAACUGCCGGGCUUGAGUAUGGGAGAGGUGAGUGGAAUUUCCGGUGUAGCGGUGAAAUGCGUAGAUAUCGGAAGGAACACCUGUGGCGAAAGCGGCUCACUGGACCAUUACUGACGCUGAGGCGCGAAAGCUGGGGGAGCAAACAGGAUUAGAUACCCCCGUAGUCCCUGUCUCUUAUAA
rnacentral:rRNA from 1 species